UGAGGAAUAUUGGUCAAUGGACGAGAGUCUGAACCAGCCAAAUCGCGUGAAGGAAGACUGCCCUACGGGUUGUAAACUUCUUUUGUACAGGAAUAAAAGACAUUACGUGUAAUGUAUUGCAUGUACUGUACGAAUAAGCAUCGGCUAACUCCGUGCCAGCAGCCGCGGUAAUACGGAGGAUGCGAGCGUUAUCCGGAUUUAUUGGGUUUAAAGGGUGCGCAGGCGGGAUUUUAAGUCAGCGGUGAAAUUUUCAGGCUCAACCUGAACACUGCCGUCGAAACUGGGAUUCUUGAGUAUGGAUGAAGUAGGCGGAAUUCGUUGUGUAGCGGUGACAUGCUUAGAUAUAACGAGGAACUCCGAUUGCGUAGGCAGCUUACUAAGCCAUAACUGACGCUCAAGCACGAAAGCGUGGGGAUCAAACA
rnacentral:rRNA from 1 species